rnacentral:lncRNA from 1 species
GUGAGAUGCAAUAGCUUUAUCAUUUGGACCUAGAAUGCUCACUUGGAGCACAGGGCGGGCCGUGUGGAUAGAUGAACUGCUCUCUUGGGCGUUUGUGCAGACUGGCACUAUCCCCCCUUUAGAAAGUUGAUUCCUCCAACUGUGGAAUUUAGCUUUCUUUAUCUAACCAGGAUUUUAGAAUUUAAACUUGAAAAAUGCUUUUGUGAUUAUAACCAUUUAGUACAUUUAAGGCUUUAAUAUCAAAUCUAGGUAUUUUUUUACAUUAUAAUUUUAAGGUAUAAAUUUAAGGAAGUUUGAGGAAAUCUUAAAAAAAGUUGACUUGCAUUGCAAGGGAAUACACAAGACCAGAACAAAACCACAUAGUUGUUUCCUGACAUAUUUUGGAGUUGAAUCAUCUUGGAAAUGGUAGCUUUACUUCUUAACCUCUAUUUCCUGGUCUACGUGAAACAUGACAGGUUUAGGACUGAUAAUAACGAACUCCUCUUAUGCAAAUUUAAUACUCUGUUUGGGGAAGAAGAUGCAACCAGCUAGUUCAGAAAGCUGUCAGAAUACCCUGAUGAGUUUGGCACUGUAGAUACUACUAGGCAAGGAAAAGCACAAGUUGAACAAAGUAGUAUUUAUAGUUGGCUCUUGAUUAUUCCCGAUACAUCCUGUUUGCACCAUUUUCUUGUCCCAUUUUGGCUUUUCACUUGAGGAAAACAACUGAACCAUUUGUACCCCUUGCCCAGAGGUGGUGUGAACAGGAACUGGAAGGACCAUUUCUGCUUCAGGCUUGGGGCGUGUGUAUGUGCUGCUCUUCCCACCGAGGAGGGGAGAAGGCGGAUGAGCUGCGCGUUCCAGGUCUGUCAGCCUGUCUCAGGUCCAAACAUCAGUAAAAGGGCACUCAUUAAAAUUGAUUCACCAUUUGACAAUGCUGCCACCGCACCUUCUGGCAACUGUGGUGACCGACCGAGCUUGAGUCUGCACUGAGCCGUUUCCGGUGGAGCAGGGCUCUUCCCGCUCCUGGCUUCCAGCCCAUCACAGAGGGGUGAGUGCGGAGCUUCGGGAUCUUUGUGUUCACAGAUGCGGUGUGGAGCUGUUCAUACCAUGCAAUAUUCACUUACUGUGCUAUUUUUUAAAACUGUCUGUUAUAAAGUUUUAAGCACAAUGUCGACUCUUCUGUAAUUUCCUAAAAUUAUAUUGUUUUCCUAAGACAGCUCAACUUUCAUGUGUAAUACUUUAGGAAAAUAUUGCCGUGCAAAAUAAAUGUGAUUUUCUUUUGUAUCAGAACAAA